rnacentral:rRNA from 1 species
AACGAACGCUGGCGGCAGGCUUAACACAUGCAAGUCGAACGAGAUCUUCGGAUCUAGUGGCAGACGGGUGAGGAACACGUGGGAACAUCCCUUUCAGUUCGGAAUAACGUUGGGAAACUAACGCUAAUACCGGAUACGUCCUUCGGGAGAAAGAUUUAUCGCUGAAAGAUUGGCCCGCGUCUGAUUAGCUAGUUGGUGAGGUAACGGCUCACCCAGGCUACGAUCAGUAGCUGAUCUGAGAGGAUGAUCAGCCACAUUGGGACUGAGACACGGCCCAAACUCCUACGGGAGGCAGCAGUGGGGAAUAUUGGACAAUGGGCGCAAGCCUGAUCCAGCCAUGCCGCGUGAGUGAUGACGGCCUUCGGGUUGUAAAGCUCUUUUGUCCGGGAAGAUAAUGACUGUACCGGAAGAAUAAGCACCGGCUAACUUCGUGCCAGCAGCCGCGGUAA